rnacentral:lncRNA from 1 species
CUGAGGUGGACUUGGGGAUGGACAAAUAGAUGAGAGCCCAGAAAUAGAAACAUAUUGGGGAAUUUGGUAUAAAACAGAAGUAGAUACAUAUUGGGGAAUUUGGUAUAAAUCAGUAGGGAAUCAGUGAGGAAAGGAUUUAAUAAACGAGGCUAUAAACAUUGGUUUGCCUUAAGGAGAAAAUAAUUAUAUCCCUGGAUUAUAUCUCUAUCUCACAUCAUACAAAAAUUUCAGAUAGAUAUGUCUUAAAUGUAAAUAGCAAAACUAAAAACACUUUACAAGAAAACAGGGGACAAUAACUUCAUGAUUUUAGGGUAGGAAAAGAUUUCUUAAACAAGAACACAGGAAUACAAGAUGAAAAGGCAACAACUAUAAGGGAAAUAUUGAUAAAUUUGACAACUUAACAUUAAAAACUGUAAUCCAAAAGACAAUCUCCAGAUUUGGAGAAGAUAUUUGCAAUAUUUCAGCAGAAGAUUCAUAUCCAGAAUAUUCGAAGGCCAUCUACCAAUAGUGAGGAUUGUUUCAAAUAAAGCUGUCUGAUGUAGAAAGACAUGGUUGCUAGG